rnacentral:ncRNA from 1 species
CAAAGGCUUGGUCCUGACUUUAUUAUCAGCUUUAGCUAGACUUACACAUGCAAGUAUCCGCACCCCCGUGAGAAUGCCCUACAGUUUCCCGUCCGGAAACAAGGAGCUGGUAUUAGGCACAUCCAUAUUAGCCCACGACACCUUGCUUAGCCACACCCUCAAGGGAACUCAGCAGUGAUAAACAUUAAGCCAUAAGUGAAAACUUGACUUAGUUAAAGCUAAGAGGGCCGGUUAAACUCGUGCCAGCCACCGCGGUUAUACGAGAGGCCCAAGUUGAUAAACCCCGGCGUAAAGAGUGGUUAAGAUAGAUUAAACACUAAGGCCGAACGCCCCCUAGGCUGUUAUACGCAUCCGGGGGUAAGAAGUUCAACCACGAAAGUGGCCUUAUACUCCCUGAACCCACGAAAGCUAGGAUACAAACUGGGAUUAGAUACCCCACUAUGCCUAGCCCUAAACAUCGAUAGUGCAAUACAUCCACUAUCCGCCUGGGUACUACGAGCGUCAGCUUAAAACCCAAAGGACUUGGCGGUGCUUUAGACCCACCUAGAGGAGCCUGUUCUGGAACCGAUACCCCCCGUUCAACCUCACCCCUCCUUGUUUUUCCCGCCUAUAUACCGCCGUCGUCAGCUUACCCUGUGAAGGUUAUGUAGUAAGCAAAAUUGGCAUAGCCCAAAACGUCAGGUCGAGGUGUAGCGCAUGGAAGGGGAAGAAAUGGGCUACAUUCCCUAUUUUAGGGAAUACGAACGAUGCUUUGAAACAAGCAUCCGAAGGAGGAUUUAGCAGUAAGCAGAAAAUAGAGAGUUCCGCUGAAACCGGCCCUGAAGCGCGCACACACCGCCCGUCACUCUCCCCAAAUCUACAAAAUCAAAUAACUAAACCCUAUAAGACACAAAGGGGAGGCAAGUCGUAACAUGGUAAGUGUACCGGAAGGUGCACUUGGAUAAAU